rnacentral:rRNA from 1 species
GUGCCAGCAGCCGCGGUAAUACGUAGGGUGCAAGCGUUAAUCGGAAUUACUGGGCGUAAAGCGUGCGCAGGCGGUUGUGUAGGUCAGAUGUGAAAUCCCCGGGCUCAACCUGGGAAUUGCAUUUGAGACUGCACGGCUAGAGUGUGUCAGAGGGGGGUAGAAUUCCACGUGUAGCAGUGAAAUGCGUAGAUAUGUGGAGGAAUACCGAUGGCGAAGGCAGCCCCCUGGGAUAACACUGACGCUCAUGCACGAAAGCGUGGGGGGCAAACAGGAUUAGAUACCCUGGUAGUCCACGCCCUAAACGAUGUCUACUAGUUGUCGGGUCUUAAUUGACUUGGUAACGCAGCUAACGCGUGAAGUAGACCGCCUGGGGAGUACGGUCGCAAGAUUAAAACUCAAAGGAAUUGACGGGGACCCGCACAAGCGGUGGAUGAUGUGGAUUAAUUCGAUGCAACACGAAAAACCUUACCUACCCUUGACAUGGAUGGAAUCCCGAAGAGAUUUGGGAGUGCUCGAAAGAGAACCAUCACACAGGUGCUGCAUGGCUGUCGUCAGCUCGUGUCGUGAGAUGUUGGGUUAAGUCCCGCAACGAGCGCAACCCUUGUCAUUAGUUGCUACGAAAGGGCACUCUAAUGAGACUGCCGGUGACAAACCGGAGGAAGGUGGGGAUGACGUCAAGUCCUCAUGGCCCUUAUGGGUAGGGCUUCACACGUCAUACAAUGGUACAUACAGAGGGCCGCCAACCCGCGAGGGGGAGCUAAUCCCAGAAAGUGUAUCGUAGUCCGGAUUGGAGUCUGCAACUCGACUCCAUGAAGUUGGAAUCGCUAGUAAUCGCGGAUCAGCAUGUCGCGGUGAAUACGUUCCCGGGUCUUGUACACACCGCCCGUCACACCAUGGGAGCGGGUUUUACCAGAAGUGGGUAGCCUAACCGCAAGGAGGGCGCUCACCACGGUAGGAUUCGUGACUGGGGUGAAGUCGUAACAAGGUAGCCGUAG